CGAGCACAUCAAGUUGAAACACCAGUUCCCGUACGAUCACCGAUGUUAAGCAACGUCGAUCCUAGCCAGUACCUAGAUGGGUGACCGUUUAGGAAUACCAGGUUCUGUAAG